rnacentral:rRNA from 1 species
UACGUAGGGGGCAAGCGUUGUCCGGAAUCAUUGGGCGUAAAGCGCGUGUAGGCGGUUUCGUAAGUCUGCUGUGAAAGUCGGAGGCUCAACCCUCGAAAGCCGGUGGAUACUGUGAGACUUGAGUACGGAAGAGGAGAGUGGAAUUCCUGGUGUAGCGGUGAAAUGCGCAGAUAUCAGGAGGAACACCAACGGCGAAGGCAGCUCUCUGGGACGUUACUGACGCUGAGACGCGAAAGCGUGGGGAGCAAACAGG